rnacentral:rRNA from 1 species
UCAAGUUAUUAAGGGUGCAGGGCGGAUGCCUUGGCACUAGGAGCCGAUGAAGGACGUGAUAAGCUGCGAUAAGCUUCGGGGAGUUGCACGUAAACUUUGAUCCGAAGAUUUCCGAAUGAGGAAACUCACUUAGAGUAAUGUCUAAGUAUCAUUAAGUGAAUACAUAGCUUAAUGAGGGGAACUCAGGGAACUGAAACAUCUAAGUACCUGAAGGAAGAGAAAGAAAUUCGAUUCCGUAAGUAGCGGCGAGCGAACGCGGAUUAGCCCAAACCAAUAAAGUUUUCUUUAUUGGGGUUGCGGACAUAUCAUAACGAAGAGGUAUCGUAAUUGAAGAGGUUUGGAAAGACUCACCACAGAAGGUAAUAGUCCUGUAUGUUAAACGAGAAGACUUUAGAUAUGAUCCAGAGUACCACGGGACACGUGAAACCCUGUGGGAAGCAGGAGGGACCACCCUCCAAGGCUAAAUACUACCUAGUGACCGAUAGCGUAUAGUACCGUGAGGGAAAGGUGAAAAGAACCCCGGGAGGGGAGUGAAAUAGAACCUGAAACCCUGCACUUACAAGCUGUGGAAGCACAUUUCUUGUGUGACCGCGUACUUUUUGUAGAACGGGCCAACGAGUUACGUUAAGUAGCAAGGUUAAGCACUUAAGGUGUGGAGCCGUAGCGAAAGCGAGUUUUAACUGAGCGUUCAGUUACUUGACGUAGACCCGAAACCGGGCGACCUACCCAUGAGCAGGAUGAAGCGAAAGUAAAAUUUCGUGGAGGUCCGAACCCACGAGCGUUGAAAAGCUCGGGGAUGACUUGUGGGUAGCGGUGAAAUUCCAAUCGAGCCCGGAGAUAGCUGGUUCUCCCCGAAAUAGCUUUAGGGCUAGCCUCAAGGUGAGAGAUACGGAGGUAGAGCACUGAAUGUCCUAGGGGGUAUUGCACCUACCGAAGACUAUCAAACUCCGAAUGCCGUCAUCUUAUACUUGGGAGUCAGACUGUGGGUGAUAAGAUUCAUAGUCGAAAGGGCAACAGCCCAGAUCGUCAGCUAAGGUCCCUAAAUGUAAGUUAAGUGGUAAAGGAUGUGGGAUUGCACAGACAACCAGGAUGUUGGCUUAGAAGCAGCCACUCAUUCAAAGAGUGCGUAAUAGCUCACUGGUCGAGUGAUCCUGCGCCGAAGAUUUCCGGGGCUAAAACUUACUACCGAAGCUACGGCAUCAGUAAUGAUGGGUAGGGGAGCUUCCCAUACGGGUUGAAGCAUGACCGUAAGGACAUGUGGACAGUAUGGGAGUGAGAAUGUUGGCAUGAGUAGCGAGAUGUGGGUGAGAAUCCCACAGGCCGUAAACCCAAGGUUUCCAGGGGAAGGUUCGUCCGCCCUGGGUUAGUCGGGACCUAAGCUGAGGCCGAAAGGCGUAGGUGAUGGACAACAGGUUGAUAUUCCUGUACUACCGAUAACCAUUUGAGAGAAGGGAUGACACAGUAGGAUAAGCUAAGCACACUGUUGGUUAUGUGUGCCCAAGCAUUGAGGCAGUCAAAGUAGGCAAAUCCGCUUUGAUAAUGCUGGGAUGUGAUGGGGAGCGAAAUUUAGUAGCGAAGUAGCUGAUUUCACACUGUCAAGAAAAGUCUCUAUCGAGGUUAAAGGUACCCGUACCGCAAACCGACACAGGUGGGUGAGGAGAGUAUCCUAAGGCCAGCGAGAGAACUGUUGUUAAGGAACUCGGCAAAAUGACCCCGUAACUUAGGGAUAAGGGGUGCCACCAUCAGGUGGCCGCAGAGAAUAGGCCCAAGCGACUGUUUACCAAAAACAUAGGUUUCUGCUAAGUCGCAAGACGAUGUAUAGGAGCUGACGCCUGCCCGGUGCUGGAAGGUUAAGGGGAUCUGUUAGAGCAAUCGAAGCAGUGAACUUAAGCCCCAGUAAACGGCGGCCGUAACUAUAACGGUCCUAAGGUAGCGAAAUUCCUUGUCGGGUAAGUUCCGACCCGCACGAAAGGCGUAACGAUUUGGGCACUGUCUCAACAACAGACUCGGUGAAAUUGUAAUUCCGGUGAAGAUGCCGGAUACCUGCGACAGGACGGAAAGACCCCAUGGAGCUUUACUGUAGCUUGACAUUGGGUCUUGGUACUACAUGUACAGGAUAGGUGGGAGGCUUUGAAACCAGGACGCCAGUUUUGGCGGAGCCAUCCUUGGGAUACCACCCUUGUAGUACUGGGACUCUAACCAUAGGCCAUGAAUCUGGUCUUGGGACACUGUCAGGUGGGCAGUUUGACUGGGGCGGUCGCCUCCCAAAAGGUAACGGAGGCGCUCAAAGGUUCUCUCAGUACGGUCGGAAAUCGUACGUAGAGUGUAAAGGCAAAAGAGAGCUUGAUUGCAAGACAUACAGGUCGAGCAAGGAUGAAAAUCGGACUUAGUGAUCCGGUGGUUCUGCGUGGAAGGGCCAUCGCUCAACGGAUAAAAGCUACCCUGGGGAUAACAGGCUUAUCUCCCCCAAGAGUCCACAUCGACGGGGAGGUUUGGCACCUCGAUGUCGGCUCAUCACAUCCUGGGGCUGUAGUAGGUCCCAAGGGUUGGGCUGUUCGCCCAUUAAAGUGGUACGCGAGCUGGGUUCAGAACGUCGUGAGACAGUUCGGUCCCUAUCCGUCGCAGGCGUAGGAAAUUUGAGAAGACCUGUCCUUAGUACGAGAGGACCGGGAUGGACGUACCUCUGGUGUACCAGUUGUCCUGCCAAGGGCAUGGCUGGGUAGCUAUGUACGGAAUGGAUAAGCGCUGAAAGCAUCUAAGCGCGAAGCCAACUUCAAGAUAAGAUUUCCCACCGCAAGGGUAAGACCCCAGAAAGACUAUCUGGUUGAUAGGUCGAAGGUGUAAGUGCAGCAAUGUAUUUAGCUUAUCGAUACUAAUAGGUCGAGGACUUGACCAA